rnacentral:rRNA from 1 species
CCUACGGGAGGCAGCAGUGGGGAAUAUUGCACAAUGGGGGAAACCCUGAUGCAGCGACGCCGCGUGAGCGAUGAAGUAUUUCGGUAUGUAAAGCUCUAUCAGCAGGGAAGAAAAUGACGGUACCUGACUAAGAAGCACCGGCUAAAUACGUGCCAGCAGCCGCGGUAAU